rnacentral:rRNA from 1 species
CUGCUGCCUUCCGUAGGAGCCUGGUCCGUGUCUCAGUACCAGUGUGGGGGACCUUCCUCUCAGAACCCCUACGCAUCGUCGGUUAGGUGGGCCGUUACCCCGCCUACUGCCUAAUGCGCCGCAUGCCCAUCCCUGUCCGGCCGAAGCCUUUCCUGCCUCCGGGAUGCCCCGGUGGCAUGUACGCGGGUUUAGCCCGCCUUUCGGCGGUUGUCCCCCUGACAGGGGCAGGUUGCAUACGUGUUACUCACCCGUGCGCCGGUCGCCGGCGGAGAAAG